GUGGGGUUAGACUGCCUGGUUCCUUUGGGAACAAAGCACACAGACCUGCAGGGGGAAUGGGAAAGAGAGAGUUCCCAUCCCUCCUCCCCAUCCUCUGAGCUCCAGUUCUUGUUUCUUCCAGCCUUAUCCAGAAUGGAAUUUUCCUGCUAGGACCAGUUCUGGACCUGCCCCCCUCUCUAUUCCUGUUUCUUCUUUUAAUCUUCCUGCCUCCAAGCUAGGGCUUGGGGCCUAUUUCUGAGUCCCUGGGAAGAGAAGAGGAGCAGAAAAGAACUCAGCCCUUGGCCCUUGUGGCUUUUGGGCUCUGGCUGAGCCUCACCUUCUCCUGGAGGAAGCUGUUCUCUGAAGGGUCUCCCUGGAGGGAGGGCAGAAUGGAGUUAUCUCCUAAAGCAGCUAAAUGCAUCCUGGGGUGGAUUGCCCUCAGGAUGCCUUUCUUCCCAGUUCUCCUGGUUUAUGUCUGUGACCCUGGCAGUUCUAUGGCUUGCCCUGUAGGUAGAGGAAAAGACUUCAUGGGAGGUGAGUGGAUAAGUGAGGGGACCUAGUGGACAAGAUAUUUGGUUGACAGUUAUGUGAAGUCCUAAAGAGAGCAAUCCUAGGCAUCUAAGUGGCUUUUGUUCCAUUGGUAGAACAAAAGCAGAGCUAUUUUCCAUGAGGAAUCUGAGAGCAGUGACAUGGAAGAAACCCUGUGGCUUCCUUCCUCCAAGGUGCCUCCGUUAGAAAGGAUAUCAUGGGCUGCCUGGCAAGUUUAUUGCAUCCUGGUGUCAACAACAUCCUGGUGAUGGAUGGCGGUUCCGGAAAGCAGUGAUCAGUUAGCCACAUCUGUAAGGACUGGGAGAGGAGGGCAGAUAUGCCAAGGCACAUGGCCAUGUUGAUGUUGUGCCAGCCCUGCUGUCAAUCUGGCUUCAGUUUUGUGGGGUUUGUGCUGAGGUGUGAGGGGCUGUCAGUUGCAAGACUGACUGGCAAUAAGCCACAGAACAUCCCAUUAUAACUUAAAACCCAAGUCUUCGUGGAUUGGGGUCACAGGGGAGGAGGUGGACAGUAGACUGUUGUUAUGGUCUGAAUAUGAGGUGCCCCCCAGAAAAACCUCAUGUGAUAGAUAAUGCAGGAACAUUCAGAGGUGAAAUGAUUAUGAGAGCUGUACCCUAAUUAGUGGAUUAAUUCAUUUGAUGGGUUAAUAACUUGAAAGGAGUACUGGGUGAUAACUGUAGGCAGGUGGGGUGUGGCUGGAGGAAAUAGGUCAUUGGUGGUGUGCCCUCAGAGAUUAGAUUUUGCCCCUGUGUGCUCCCCAAGCCCCCCUCUCUCUGCUUGAUGGCUCCCAUGAGAUGAGAAGCUUUCUUCUAUCAUGCCUUUUCACCACGAUGUUCUGCCUGAUUCAGGCCCAGAAUAAUGAGGUUGGCCAACCAUGCACUGAGACCUCUGAAACCAUGAGCUCCAAAUACACUUUUCUUCCUCUAAGUUGUUCUUACCGGUCAUUUUGGUCACAAUGAUGAAAUGCUAACUAACAUAACUGCCAGCUGGCUGACCAAGCCCUGGAAUGGAUUCUUUUUUCAUCAGGAGAAUCACCUAAGUGUACUUGUUGGGACAGCAGGUGCCCCAUGUUGGGGUGGCUGGGCCUCACUGUUGCUGGUGUCUGCUUCCUGGGUCUACUGUGAUGGCCUGGGUCCUCUAGCACAGUUGCCUGUGCACCCAGCCUUAGUGCUGCCUCCACCCCUGCCUCUAGGAGCCACCUGACUACCUGUCCCCACACCACUUCUUUCCCUGCUCUGUGCUUCUGGUAACUAUCUGACCUGGAUAGAAUAUUUAGAAGACCAAUUUUAUGAUUUUCCUCAGUGAAGGUGGUUUUUCAAUCCAUUUGUACACUUGAGUAUGAUUUUUUUUUCUUUCAUGCAAGUAAAUUUAUAUAUCAG
rnacentral:lncRNA from 1 species